AUGCCAUUGCCAACCGCGGUCGUAGCCGGCGUUGCCGCCUCCGUCGCCGCGCUGGUGCUGCUGGCGGUCGCCGCCGCGCUCUGCUGGUGGCGGCUCGGGGCGCGCCGUAGCCGGACCUCCGACACCGCCUCCGACGAAACUCCCCCCACGCUAGCGGAGUGGGGCAGGUGCGGCCGGACGUCGUCGGCGCCGGACUACCACGGCGCCAGGCGGUUCACGCUGGAGGAGAUGUCCCACGCCACCAAGAACUUCAGCGACGCCAACCUCGUGGGCGCCGGCACCUUCGGCAAGGUCUACAUGGGCCUCCUGCUCGACGGCACCGUCGUCGCCAUCAAGCGCCGCGUCGGCGCGCCGCGCCAGGACUUCGUCGACGAGGUGAGGCGGCAGUCGGAGAUCUGGCACCGGAACGUGGUGACCCUCAUCGGCUACUGCCAGGACGGGGGUCUGCAGAUGCUCGUCUUCGAGCACCUGCCCAACGGCAGCGUCUGCGGCCAUCUAUACGAUACCGGCAAGGAGUCGAUGACAAGGCUGGAGUUCAAGCAGAGGCUCUCGAUCGCCAUCGGAGCGGCCAAAGGCCUGGACCAUCUGCACAGCCUCGCGCCUCCGUUGAUCCACAAGGGCUUCAAGACGAGCAACGUGCUGGUGGACGAGAACUUCAUCGCCAAGGUGUCCGACGCCGGAGUCGACCGGCUGCUCAGAGGGCUCGAGGACCCCGGCUCGCCGCUCAACGGAUUCCGUUCCGGCAUCUACCAGGAUCCAGAGGCACAUUCCUUGGCACAGCUCUCUGCGAGCAGCGACGUGUACAGCUUUGGGGUUUUCCUUCUGGAGCUCAUCACCGGCAGGGAGGCCGCCACCUUGGUUUCUCCGGAAUCAACCGAAUCUCUCGCUCAUUGGUUGGAGACGUCGGGAGACGAGGUGGCGGACCCGAGGCUCGGCGGCAGCUUCACCUCGGAGGGCAUGAAGGAGCUGGUUGGCCUGACGAUGCAGUGCCUGAGCCCGUCGGCGGUGAGGAGGCGGCCCAAGAUGCGGCUGGUCGCGGCGGAGCUCGACCGCAUCCUGGAGAAGGAGAUGACCCUGACGACGGUCAUGGGGGAUGGCACGGCCAUCAUCACCCUUGGGAGCCAGCUCUUCACGUCAUGA
rnacentral:rRNA from 1 species